rnacentral:rRNA from 1 species
UUGUUGGGUAGGGGAGCGUUCUGUAAGCCUGUGAAGGUGUACUGUGAGGUAUGCUGGAGGUAUCAGAAGUGCGAAUGCUGACAUAAGUAACGAUAAAGCGGGUGAAAAGCCCGCUCGCCGGAAGACCAAGGGUUCCUGUCCAACGUUAAUCGGGGCAGGGUGAGUCGACCCCUAAGGCGAGGCCGAAAGGCGUAGUCGAUGGGAAACAGGUUAAUAUUCCUGUACUUGGUGUUACUGCGAAGGGGGGACGGAGAAGGCUAUGUUGGCCGGGCGACGGUUGUCCCGGUUUAAGCGUGUAGGCUGAUUUUCCAGGCAAAUCCGGAAAAU